rnacentral:rRNA from 1 species
GACGAACGCUGGCGGCGUGCUUAACACAUGCAAGUCGAACGGAAAGGCCUGCUUUCCCUUGUGGAUUGCGGGUACUCGAGUGGCGAACGGGUGAGUAACACGUGAGUGAUCUGCCCCCAACUUGGGUAUAAGCCUGGGAAACUGGGUCUAAUUCCCGAUAGGACUGCAGGGUGGUGCCUGUGGUGGAAAACGAUUUUCUAGUGGUUGGGGAUGAGCUCGCGGCCUAUCAGCUUGUUGGUGGGGUAAUGGCCUACCAAGGCGGCGACGGGUAGCCGGCCUGAGAGGGUGGACGGCGACAUUGGGACUGAGGUACGGCCCAGACUCCGACGGGAGGCAGCAGUGGGGAAUAUUGCACAAUGGGCGGAAGCCUGAUGCAGCGACGCCGCGUGGGGGAUGACGGCCUUCGGGUGGUAAACUCCUUUCGACCGCGAGGAAGCCACCUGGUUGGAAGGGUGGUGACGGUAGUGGUAGAAGAAGCACCGGCUAACUACGUG